UGGAUCACCUCCUAACAGGGAGACAAAACAAUGAUUUUGAUGCCUGAGUGCUUUUAUUCUUAGGCCGAAAUCCUGUCACCUUAGGUCGAUCGGUACCUCAGCUUUGAAGUUAAGGAUCAGCAGCAAUGUUGAUUGCUUGAUGGAGAUUUUCAGUUCCUAAACUUUGUCUAGGUCACACCCCAAAAGGGAUGAGACUCCUGGGCCAUUAGCUCAGGUGGUUAGAGCGCACCCCUGAUAAGGGUGAGGUCCCUGGUUCAAGUCCAGGAUGGCCCAUUCGGUGUUGGGGGUUUAGCUCAGUUGGUAGAGCGCCUGCUUUGCAAGCAGGAUGUCAGGAGUUCGAGUCUCCUAACCUCCACUGACCGAACUUGAUUCCCAUCUCCAAUUUUUUGGAGUUGAGCUCGAUUGGAGUGUGAUUUAGAUGUGUCCGCUGGAUGACCCCAGCUUCCUGUCAUUCCAAGUUUUAGAUUUUAAGUCUUGAAUUUGGUUGAUAAGAUGCUGGGCUCGGAUCAAAUGAUCAAGCAAUUGAUGAUUUGAUUUGAAGUUCUAGCAGAACCUUGACAACUGCAUAGGUGAGUCUGGAAAAAACAAAGCAUCUUACAGAUGCAUUGUUUUGAAUCUGAUCUUCUGAAAGGGAGAUUGGAUCUAGAACAAUGAAAAUUCUUUUGAGCAAGAGCCGAGACUCUUGAGCGUUCUUUGAUUGGUGUCGAGCCAAUCAGAGUUUGAUCUUGUUUUUAGCAAUAAAAACUUGAGAAUCUGCUUUCAACGGCGGUAAGCGUUCAGGAGGUUAAUUGGUCAAGCUACAAAGGGCUCACGGCGGAUACCUUGGCACACAGAGGCGAUGAAGG
rnacentral:tRNA from 1 species